UGUCUUAUAUUCAUUUAUUAAUGAUUUAAAAUUGCAAAUUUUAAGGUGUAAAACUUUUACUAAGGCUU
rnacentral:tRNA from 1 species